UACAGAGGGUGCUAGCGUUGUUCGGAAUUACUGGGCGUAAAGCGUGCGCAGGCGGUGCGCCAAGCUCGAUGUGAAAGCCCCGGGCUUAACCUGGGAAUUGCAUUGAGGACUGGCGUGCUCGAGUGCGGCAGAGGGGGGUGGAAUUCCACGUGUAGCAGUGAAAUGCGUAGGGAGUGUGGAGGAACACCGAUGGCGAAGGCAGCCCCCUGGGCCGACACUGACGCUCAUGCACGAAAGCGUGGGGAGCAAACAGG
rnacentral:rRNA from 1 species